GACGAACGCUGGCGGCGUGCUUAACACAUGCAAGUCGAACGGAAAGGCCCUUCGGGGUACUCGAGUGGCGAACGGGUGAGUAACACGUGGGUGAGCUGCCCUGCACUUUGGGAUAAGCCUGGGAAACUGGGUCUAAUACCGAAUAUGAUCAUCGGCUUCAUGGUCGGUGGGGGAAAGCGUUUGCGGUGUGGGCUGGGCCCGCGGCCGAUCAGCUUGUUGGUGGGGUAAUGGCCUACCAAGGCGACGACGGGUAGCCGGCCGGAGAGGGUGACCGGCCACACUGGGACUGAGAUACGGCCCAGACUCCUACGGGAGGCAGCAGUGGGGAAUAUUGCACAAUGGGCGCAAGCCUGAUGCAGCGACGCCGCGUGAGGGAUGACGGCCUUCGGGUUGUAAACCUCUUUCAGCACAGACGAAGCGCAAGUGACGGUAUGUGCAGAAGAAGGACCGGCCAACUACGUG
rnacentral:rRNA from 1 species